AUUGAACGCUGGCGGCAUGCCUUACACAUGCAAGUCGAACGGCAGCACGGGAGCAAUCCUGGUGGCGAGUGGCGAACGGGUGAGUAAUAUAUCGGAACGUGCCCAGUCGUGGGGAUAACGUAGCGAAAGCUACGCUAAUACCGCAUACGAUCUAUGGAUGAAAGCGGGGGAUCGCAAGACCUCGCGCGAUUGGAGCGGCCGAUAUCAGAUUAGGUAGUUGGUGAGGUAAAGGCUCACCAAGCCGACGAUCUGUAGCUGGUCUGAGAGGACGACCAGCCACACUGGGACUGAGACACGGCCCAGACUCCUACGGGAGGCAGCAGUGGGGAAUUUUGGACAAUGGGCGCAAGCCUGAUCCAGCAAUGCCGCGUGCAGGA
rnacentral:rRNA from 1 species